CUCCACACCCCACUGAUGUGAGUCUCAUUUCUUCACAACUCAGUCCACAUGGGGGCCAAAGAGAAUAGCUUCUGCCCACUGUGUGGAUGGCUUUGUGGUCUGCUGCGAGGUCCCGCAGAAGAGGAAGUCUGGAUGUGCCCUACUGACAUGCUCUGCCUCCUGGCCUAUGAAUCUUCUGGGUCAACUGCUGUCUAGAGUGGGCCUUGGCAGUCUUGCAGCACUGAGAAGUGAAGGAAUAUUUGGGAGGAUCAGAAGCUUGGUCCUGAUUUUGCCAUCAACAGGAACUUGAUGACUUCAAGGGAGUCCCCAAACCCUGGGUUUCUGUUUUCUCAACUCUAACAUGAGGGGCUAGAUGCAUCUGGUUUAGUUAGUCUCCAUGAUGGUUUAGUUCGUCUCCAUGAUCCUGUGAAUUUCAGAUGUUGAAAAUCUUCGGAAAAGCCCUGAAAGAUGAACAGUGGUCUCAAAUAGUCAAGACCCCCUGCUGGGAGGAGCUUCUAUCCUGCUCUGUGGAAGAAAUGGGCAUGCCAGAUGCCUGGAAGAUCAGAGGCUCACAUUCCAGUUCAAAGUUAGAGAAACCUGAGAGGGGUGUACUGGUAUGACCACCCGAGAUCCCAUCGCUGAGAAAGAUAAUGGCCCUGGAGACAAAGACUGAUGAAGAAAGACAGUAUCCAGCUGUGAUGCAGAUGAAACAUGCGGCAUGGUUGCACUCACUAUGCAGCCAAGGCUGGAAGCCACUCUGGAUCCAGCCACUCUGGCACAGCGUUCUUGCUCUAGGAAGAACAACUGAACAUGGCCACACAGGCCUCACAGCUGGCAUAUGGAGGCUGUUAAUAAGCUGAGCUUGAGGCUUCAAAGGACUCUUGUAGCCUGUGCUGGAUCUAGCAGUGACCAGUAUGCCAGUGGCCAUGGAUGCCCAGGCCCAUGUUCAGUAGUGAAGCAGGUGCUAGCAGCAGAAGCAAUAGAAAUGGAAACUGGGAGAUCUGCUGUGGAUGAAUCUCAUUAUCUUCUUUCUCUGACCCUCUUUGGACUAAAUAAACUCCCAGUAUUCUUGACCAACAGAGGUAGGGUUGGAACAGAACCUCAAAAGUCAUCAUUAGACUUCCUACUAAUAGGGCAUUGGAAGUUCAAGCGACUAACUAGGAAACAGGUUAGUAUUUGUACCCCUACACUGUGCAACAGAUUACAUACCAUUUGCUCUAUUUGGCAUCCUUUCCUUAGGCUAGAUUCCCAGAAGAAAGAUUACUGAUUCGAAGGGCAUGAACAUUUUUAUGACUCUUGGCCUAAAUUACUAGGCCAAGGUUUUUUCAAAGGGAUGCACUAAUUUUCACUAUUUCCCCACACCCUUUCAGGUGAUAAAUAAUUGACUUGAUUUGUUUACACUGACGCCAAGAAUUCUUGGGAAGAAGGAUCAAAGUGAAAAGUGGUAGCCCAUGGUGGGGAGGCCACACUCAGUGCAGUUGUGAAGUCAGCAGCAUUUUUAAGCCCAUUCAUUGCCAGUAGCCCUGAGAUGAGCAUUCCCAAGCUGCUUCCCAGGUCCCUCCUCCACUCUCUCAGGGACAUCCAUUCUGUACCAGCCCCCUCAGAUACUCAUGCCCUUGCCCUCCCUUCUCCAUGCUCAUUAAAACCAGCUUAAGAGCAGAUAUGACAUCAGUCACUUACCUUUUCGUGUGGCUCUAAAUCAAAGUGUCACCUCUCCCAAGCACAUGCUUGCAUCUUAGCUCUGAUUGAGGAAUGAAAAGCUUUGUUCUCUGUUAAAAGAACUUUGAGCUUAGAUGCCCCAGACUGAGAAAUCCACCAAAAGCUGGACCUUUGACUUGAGCGGCAAAGGACCCCCAUAGUCAGGCUGUGAUUUGAGGAGCAUCAAGAGGCCAGAGUUUCCAAGUUGGGACCCAGAAGGUGGGGUUGGCAGGGGGAGGGUAGGAGCAGCUGGAGACUCUGCUCUACCAGGGGAAUACGGAGGUGGGGACCAAUCCCAGGGUAAGGAAUGAAAGUAGGAGCCCCAGAAGCUGAAAACAUACUUCACCGAUGUCAGCAUUUUACCCAGAGCCAUUCCAAGGUGACCAUAACUCACUUAAAAGCCUGAAAGCUGUUUUAUGCCAACUAAUAAAGUGCAGUUUAAUAAAAAAGUUGUCAAUCAUUUUUAUAUAAAAUGUAUUUGGGGCAUGAAUG
rnacentral:lncRNA from 1 species